UACAGAGGGCUCAAGCGUUGUUCGGAUUCAUUGGGCGUAAAGCGUGCGCAGGCGGUUUUGUAAGCCAGAUGUGAAAUCCCCGGGCUCAACCUGGGAAUGGCAUUUGGGACUGCAAGGCUCGAGUUUGGCAGAGGAGACUGGAAUUCCUGGUGUAGCAGUGAAAUGCGUAGAUAUCAGGAGGAAUACCGAUGGCGAAGGCAGGUCUCUGGGCUGAAACUGACGCUCAUGCACGAAAGCGUGGGGAGCAAACAGG
rnacentral:rRNA from 1 species